CAGUGUUUCUAUGGGGAAAUAUUUUCAGAGUUCUAACUAAGAAUGCUGGGAUUCCUUUAACUGCCCACAGUUUGCACCCUUAGUAAAAGAAAACAGAGCCACUGCAAUUUAGGGAGGGGUUACUCUGCACCAGGCGGGGUAAACUCAUUAUGUGACUUAAAUGGUUUCAUCCUCAUGUCAACACUGAUGGAGAGUGGUGUUGGUACUGCUAUUAAUCCACCUUUUGAAGAUGAGGGAAUGGAGGCCAAAAGAACUGAUCUCAGUGACUUUGGACAGGGAUUCUGGUAAAAUAAAAUCUGACCCUGUUGGAAGGUGCUUGAAACAACAGAGAAUAGCCACGGUCUGCCUAUGAGAAGGAAGAGUGGCAAUAGUUAGUUUCAGUCCUGGAGGAGAUCCAGCCUGAUGUGGGGGAGCCCUUCAUGGCCCCAGCUGUUCAUUGCCCCCUGUGCCCGUGUGCCUAUGACUUUGUGCCCUCCCUUCAAGACUAGGAUGCUCUGCCUUGUCCUUCGAUUCUGGGCUAAGUUGUGUACCUUGCUUCAACCCUUACAAUAUGAAAGUAAGGACUGAAGCCCAGGCUUGGGGGACUUUUGUCCAUUAGAGCUUGCUUUCUUGUACACACUACAUAGUAGCCAUAACGACAUGUCCAGGCCUGCCUGAUGAGGCUGAGAGAUACAUGGAAUGGAGUCCCAGCUGACCCAGAGGGAUCCUGCCUUGAUCAGCUAAACCCCACACAUGAGCGAGGCCAGCUAAGAUCAACAGAGCCACUUGGUCUAUAUCAGCUGAACCUUGCAGACUUCUGAAAAAUAAGUGGUUUUAUUUAAUUAAACAAAUAAAACUUUUAA